rnacentral:lncRNA from 1 species
GCCCAUUCUCUAAAUAUUUUGCAGCUGCCAGCAGUAAAAAUGCAAAAAAAAAAAAUAAAAUUAGAAAUACAGUAGAGAAUAGAGAAGCAAAGAAUCAAAAAGGCAGCAGCAAACCCUCUGUGCAGCAGCCUGGUUUUUCUUCCGGAUUGGAGGUCAAACGGAGUCCGUUCGUCCUCAAAUUUUAGUAUGUUGUUCGUGAGACUCUUCUCUACAAGUACACGAAACAGUUUUUCAUUUUGAGGCCCGGAAGGUCGG